CACAGUCCACAACGCCCCCGAACCACUAGCUCGAGCUCGAGGAGCUCCCUGACGCCCAUCGCCACCAUGGCCGCCGCCUCGAGCUAUGCCCGAUUCCGGCGAUGCCGUGCCCCUCUCCCCGUUCCCCCACCACCUAUGCGUUCCCCGAGGUCCGGCGCACCUCCCCGUAGCCUUGCCCACCCAGUUCCCCCACCGGAGCCCCUGUUCGCCGGAGUCCGAAGACCACCUCCGCCGCGAGCCCUGCUGCUCCUUCUCUCGUGCUCCUCGCCGGCAACAGACACCACCACGGGAUGCGCCUCUCGCUCCUGAGCUCGUGGAUAGGUCGGCCGUCGUCUGAGGCGGCCGGAGCCGCCGGCAAUCGCCGUCGAGGCGGGCGUCUCCCUCGGCGAGGCGCGCGUACGCGCGGGAGGAAGAAGAAGCCAGGCCAGGCGGGCCCCACCCUGCGGGACCCACCUGUCGGUGAGAGGAAGGCGUGGCCCCGCUGGCCACGUCGGAUAAGUGGACGCGCCCGGCCACAGAAGCCGUUUGCCUGCUCUGGAAACGUAUUCCUCUGGAAUACGCUGUCCAAGUCAGAAAAUGUAUUCCCUGGGCACUUCGGCCCGAAAUGCGUUUCCCUGUGCGGAAAACGUAUUCAGCCCAAAGGCACGUUCAGUUUUUCCUCCAGGGGCCUGCUUGCUGAAAUUUUUUCACCGAUAGGUCCCUGAGCUUCAACCCUCCGUAUCUUUUUACCCGUAGCUCCAAAUCAGCCCCCUUCGAGAGAGAACUGUUUUCGGCAAAUCUUUCCGCGAUCGUUCCGCACUUUUUCCGGAGUAAUCCUCGACCCCAGGCAAGCCAACCUCUUAUCAUGAGCCCCGAACUUGCAUGUUGACUUUGCUGGUACCUCGUGUGUGUGCUUAGUUGCAGUAGUUUUUGUCUGUUUCAUCUGCCGUUAUUUCAGUUGUGAUAUAUGUUAGUACUGCUUGCUUACCUCUCAUGAUAGCUUUUGCCAUGCUAGUUAUAUUGUUGUUGAUAAUAUCAUGCCUCUAUCUAGUGUAGUUCAUUCCAUUAGUCUUGAUGUUAUGAUGAUUUUGUUGCACCGUCAAUAAGCUAGUAUCUAGUAUUGUUAUGUUUCAUAUGCUAUAACUGUUCACUGGAGUAGCUUGAUAUUUGUUAAUGCAUUUGUUAGUUGAAUGUUCAUUGUUGCAUUCUUGUUUAAUAUGCUCAUAAUGUUGUUGAUGGUGGAGAAGUUAAUAAUAUGACUUAAUAACAAACCUCCUCCUCCAUCACCGGGAUAUCAUAGUGCCACCAAAUCGAGCUUUCACCAGUGCAACCACAUUUACCUUGUGGGAAGGUCCUAGCUGGGUCUAUUGUCAUGCCUCUCGCCGGUGCCUCCCGCGAGGGAAGGUUAUGGGCGCGCUUACCCUGAUCAGGUAGGCGGACAUAAGCCUUGUGUGCCCGGGUUUGGUUUUGAGCUCAUGUCCCCGUUUGGGACCGUUUUGCCACGACGGUGGCCGUUGGUACCUUUGGUAGGUACGGGGCCACCCAGAACUGAACCCUUAAGGGGUGUUGGUCGGAGUGGCCGGGAGGGCGUCAUGGCAGUAGAUCGGUUUGUCGGAAUGCUUUGGUCCGCACGUAUGGGAGUGCGAGACCAGGGUUCCGUAGUGUGGGUAAAGUGUGCUACCUCUGCAGAGUAUAUUCAAUCUAUCGAUAGCCGCGUCCUAGGUCAUGGGCACAGGUUCAUAGUAGGUCACACUAUCGGGUCUCGGUCGAAAUGCAGGAUAAAUCAACUAAUUAAUUAUGUGAUAACUAAGAUGUGAUAACUAAUGUGAUGGCUUGGACUAUGAAAUAAUCAUGAGAAGUCACGAUGAUGUGUUGAUAUGACCCCGAGACGAGGUCUCGGUAAGUCAUGAUCGUGCUCCGAGGAGCCGUGGCAGAGUAAGUGAUUGUGGCAUAAGGUUAUUAUAACAUGUCUUCACGGGAGGUAACUGGUAGUUUAUUUUCAGCAUAGUUUCAUGAUGUCAUGCCCUGUUUUGAUAUGCCAUGCUUUGCUGUUGUUAUGAUAGAAGUAAGUUUGAUAUGCCAUGAUAGUUGAUGCUAUGAUGUUGUUCAUGCCUAGUUUGAAUUAUGAUUCUAGUUAAUAUCAUGCCAUGCUUAGAAGUUGUGUUGAUGUAGACUGUUGCAUAUGCUUGGUUCUUGCUUUGUCUUCUGUUUGUUUGGAUGCUAUGUAUUUGGUUGUCUUGCAAGUGCAUUCAAUCUACUGACCUGGCGUGUCAUGCCAGUUUUGUAGGUCGUUUGCUUGUUCCGUCGUGCUAGGCCGUAAUCUUGCCAGUCCUGUGCGUUAUGGAGCCCAGCCUUAGUGAGACGCUGCCAAACCAAGACUUCCGCCGCCAUUUAUAUGGACUUCUGCUGCCAUGUAAAUAGCCUUAGGGCUAUGCCAGAAAAUUGUAUUCAUCAAUGAUGUAAUCUUACACACAUGUAUUUGAUGAAUAUUAUUGUACCUGGAAUGUUGUAUCA